GUGGGGAAUAUUGGGCAAUGGGGGAAACCCUGACCCAGCGACGCCGCGUGAGGGAAGACGGCCUUCGGGUUGUAAACCUCUUUUGUACGGGAAGAAUGAAGUGACGGUACUGUACGAAUAAGUCCCGGCUAACUACGUGCCAGCAGCCGCGGUAAUACGUAGGGGACGAGCGUUGUCCGGAAUUACUGGGCGUAAAGGGCGCGCAGGCUGUGCUGCAAGUCAGCUGUGAAAUGUCUGGGCUUAACCCGGGCAUGCGGUUGAGACUGCAGUGCUGGAGUGCUGUAGAGGCAAGUGGAAUUCCCAGUGUAGCGGUGAAAUGCGUAGAUAUUGGGAAGAACACCGGUGGCGAAGGCGACUUGCUGGGCAGCAACUGACGCUGAGGCGCGAAAGCCAGGGGAGCAAACGGGAUUAGAAACCCCGGUAGUCC
rnacentral:rRNA from 1 species